rnacentral:rRNA from 1 species
AGCAGCCGCGGUAAUUCCAGCUCCAAUAGCGUAUAUUAAAGUUGUUGCAGUUAAAAAGCUCGUAGUUGAAUUUCGGGGUUAGUAGGUUGGUCAUGCCUCUGGUAUGUACUGGUCUCACUGAUUCCUCCUUCCUGAUGAACCUUAAUGCCAUUUAUUUGGUGUUUUGGGGAAUUUGGACUGUUACUUUGAAAAAUUAGAGUGUUUAAAGCAAGCUAACGCUUGAAUACAUUAGCAUGGAAUAAUGAAAUAGGACGUUCGAUCCUAUUUUGUUGGUUUCUAGGAUUGACGUAAUGAUUAAUAGGGAUAGUUGGGGGCAUUGGUAUUCAAUUGUCAGAGGUGAAAUUCUUGGAUUUAUUGAAGACUAACUACUGCGAAAGCAUAUGCCAAGGAUGUUUUCAUUAAUCAAGAACGAAAGUUAGGGGAUCGAAGACGAUCAGAUACCGUCGUAGU